rnacentral:lncRNA from 1 species
UUACCGCUGGAAUACCAUUGUCGAGACCUUCGAUUCUCGUUUAGGUCAUUCCGGCCAAAAGUCGCUCGAUCUCCGAUUCGAGUUUUUAGCUGUCUGUUGCUAAGCCGAACUUGGAAAAAUCAUAACUUCGCUAUAUGAAGUCGGAUUUGGGCGUUCUUUUCACGUACGAUCAUGGUUCAAAGACAUUUAAUCAUAGAAGGAAAUUAAGUAGAACUUAUUUAUACAUUUUAUUAUGAAAGUAACUUUUUAUUAUUCAGAAGUGGUUACAAUACUUGACCCAUUUUGGUCGUUACAAAGAGUUGAAAUAUCGGGUUGUCACAUCAUCCCCCCGUUAGAGAGAAUUUCGUCCCGAAAUUUAAAGUAGUAAAGAUACUAGUGAACAUGAAAGAGAUGAGGGUACUUUUGUUUCAUCUGAUCUUCGCGUUCCCAUGUGAAUUCGGGUCCCCGCUUGGCGUUCCAGCGAACCUUCACGAUGGGUAUGCGACUUUGUUUUGUUUGUUUGACCUCUCGGUCCAUGAUUUCUACUGGUUCUUCCACAAAGUUGAGGCUCUCGUUGAUCUCGAUCUCGUCGAGUGGAAUAACAAGAGUCUCGUCGGACAGACACUUUUUCAAGUUUGAGACGUGGAAGGUUGGAUGGAUGUUACUAAGUUCGCGCGGUAGGUUAAGCUUGUAAGCCACAGGGCCGAUUCUGGCAAGAAUCUCGAAAGGCCCUAUGUAUCUUGGAUUUAGUUUCCCACGCUUUCCAAAUCGUAUUAAACCCUUCCACGGUGAGACCUUUAAUAAGACGUGGUCUCCUACCUGGAAUUCCAAAGGUUUCCUCCUUUGGUCAGCGUAGCUUUUCUGUCGGUCUCUUGAGGCUUUCAAUCGUUCACGAAUCUGAACGAUCUUCUCUGUUGUUUCACGUAUGAUCUCCGGACCGGUGAGAGUGCUUUCAGGAACUCUUCCUCUAGCUAACUGGGUAUCGCCAACUUCAGUCCAGCACAGAGGGGAUCUGCACUUUCGACCAUAGAGGGCUUCAAACGGAGCAGCCUUUAUGCUUGUAUGAUAACUAUUGUUGUAUGAAAAUUCGACAAGGGGUAAAUGAAUAUCCCAUGCCUUUCCAAAGUCAAUCACGCAGGCUCUCAGCAUGUCUUCUAAAGUUUGUAUUGUUCUCUCACUUUGUCCGUCUGUCUGUGGGUGGUAGGCUGUACUCAUGUCUAGCCUAGUUCCCAGGGAACUUUGUAGUGACUGCCAGAAUCUUGAAGUGAAUCUACUAUCUCGAUCGGAGAUAAUGGAUAUCGGAACACCAUGCAGUCGCACUACUUCCCUUAAGUAAGUUCUUGUAAGCUUCUCCAUUUUGUCAGUCUCCUUGAUGGGUAGGAAAUGUGCGGAUUUGGUCAAUCUGUCGACAAUGACCCAUAUGGUAUCGAGUCCACUUGUCGUCUUGGGUAACUUGGUUAUGAAGUCCAUAGUAAUCCGCUCCCAUUUCCAUUCCGGUAUCUCUGGUUGUUGUAGUAGUCCUGACGGUUUCUGAUACUCGACCUUAACCUUAGCGCAAGUAAGACAUUUACUCACGAAGGUAGCAAUUUCUGCUUUCAUGUUAGGCCACCAGUACAGUUUCUUAAGAUCCAGAUACAUUUUAUCUGAACCCGGGUGAACGGAAUAUCUUGAGUUGUGAGCCUCGGUCAUGACUACGUUUCUGAAACCACCAUGAUUUGGGGUCCAGAUUCGGUCCAUGAGAUAGUAGGCUCCGCCACCCUUGACUUCUAAAUUCUUCUCCAUUCCUCGCAGGGAUUCACCCGCCACAUUUUCAGGUUGCAAAGCUUCCAUUUGUGCUUCCUUAAUUUGUGUGGAUAAGUGGGAAUGGAUAGUCAUGGUCAGAGAUUUGACCCUCCGACCAGUGUAUUCCUUUCGACUGAGGGCGUCGGCUACUACGUUGGCCUUGCCAGGAUGAUAACGAAUUUCGCAUUCGUAGUCAUUCAGUAACUCAACCCAUCGUCGUUGUCGCAUGUUGAGUUCCUUCUGAUCGAAAAUGUGUUGAAGGCUCUUGUGAUCGGUGAAUAUAGUACUCUUUGUUCCGUAUAAGUAGUGCCUCCAGAUCUUCAGAGCAAAUACCACUGCUCCUAACUCGAGGUCGUGUGUCGUAUAGUUCACUUCGUGUGUCUUAAGCUGUCGGGAGGCAUAAGCGAUAACCUUCCCUCUCUGCAUAAGAACACAACCAAGUCCUUGAUUUGAAGCAUCGCAAUACACUACGAAGUCUUCUAUCCCUUCGGGGAGGGAUAGUAUCGGUGCGGUGCACAAGGCCUGCUUUAGUGUCUGGAAUGCCUUCUCUUGUUUCGCUUCCCAGUCAAAGGCCACACCUUUCUGGGUUAAUGAAGUAAGAGGUUUCGCAAUGCUCGAAAAGUUCUUUAUGAAUCUGCGAUAGUAGCCAGCUAGACCUAGAAAUUGACGAAUUUCUGUAGGUGUCUUUGGUGCCGACCAGUUCUCAAUAGCCUUAAUUUUGGAGGGGUCCACGUGUAUACCUUUCUCGCUAACAACGUGACCUAAAAAUUCGACUCUUCGAAUCCAAAAUUCGCAUUUAGAGAACUUCGCAUAGAGUUUCUCCGUUCGCAGUGUUUCUAGGACUUUUCGUAGGUGUUGACUAUGCUCUUCCUCACUUCGAGAGUAGAUAAGUAUAUCAUCGAUAAAGACGAUGACGAACUGAUCCAAGUAAGGGCGGCAUACCCUAUUCAUUAGGUCCAUAAAUACUGCUGGUGCAUUGGUUAAUCCGAACGGCAUCACCACGAAUUCGUAGUGUCCAUAACGAGUUCGGAAGGCUGUCUUUGGAAUGUCCCCCUCUAGAACUCGUAAUUGGUGAUAUCCGGAUCGCAGGUCUAUUUUGGAGAAGUAGUUCGCCCCUUGAAGUUGAUCGAAUAGGUCGUCGAUACGGGGUAGAGGAUAGCGGUUCUUGACAGUAAGUUUGUUCAGCUCUCUGUAGUCGAUGCACAUACGGAACGAUCCGUCUUUCUUCUUUACAAACAAGACCGGUGCUCCCCAAGGUGAGAAACUUGGUCUUAUGAAUCCUUUGUGAAGGAGUUCAUUAAGUUGACUGGAAAGUUCCUGCAUCUCUGCUGGUGCAAGACGAUAAGGCGACUUCGCUACUGGGGUAGCUCCUGGAAUUAAGUCGAUUCUGAACUCGACUUGGCGUUGCGGUGGUAAUCCUGGUAGUUCUUCUGGAAAGAUAUCGGGAAAGUCGCGUACUACCGAGAUGCUCUUGAUGUCCUUCAGUUCUUGACUUGUAUCGACGAUGUGCGCUAGGAAUGCUCGACAAUCCUUCCGCAAGCACUUUCGAGCUUGGAUGCACGAAAUGAUGCGAAGGUUUGCACUAGAUUUGUCGCCGUAGAUAACUAAUGUUUCGUUGUUAGGGAGGUUAAGACGGACUGCUUUCUCAAAGCACAUGAUGUCGGCGCGAAGAAGACUCAACCAAUCCAUGCCGACUAUGACGUCGAAACUUUUAAUUUGAACCGGCAUGAGAUUGAUUGGGAAAGAAUGGCCGUCUAAUGUUAACGUACAGCCCAUGUAUAUGCAAUUUGUGUUUUCGGUUUUUCCAUUGGCCAUCUCUACAGUGAAUGAUUUUUCUAACUUGCUAGGUUUAGGUUUAAGUAAAUGAAUAAAGUUUUGACUCACGAAGCUUCUCUCCGCUCCACUAUCGAAUAAUAUGCAUGCGUAUGAAUUAUCGAGAAGGAACGUACCAGCAACUAUAGUUGGGUCAGCUACAGCUUCGUCGUGGCCUAUUGCCAAAACUCGUCCCACACCUCCGGUGCCUGCUGCCUUAGGACAGUUUCUCUUGUAGUGGCCCACCUCGCCACAACCGUAGCAAGCCUGCCCUACACCCGCACCGGGAACUUGAGUGAUCGGCUUUGCGGGUUCCUUGCAGAAACGGGCUGUGUGUCCUUUCCUGCUGCAGUUGGCGCACUGCAUAUCUCGACAAGGUCCAUGGUGGUGGUAAUUGCAUUUGGUGCAUUUUGGGAGGUUACCUAUAUAAGGCUUUGUUGGGUAGGUAUUUGUAGGGGCUGUAGCAGGUACAAUGGCAGCAUUUACUGACACCAGUUGUUUCUUUGCGGAUUCUUGGGAAGACCCACCCUUCCCUUUAAUCCACGCUCUCUUCCUGCCAUUGUUGUUGUUGUUGUUGUUGUUGUUGUUGUUGUUGUUUCCUUUCUGUGGUGCUGGUGCAGAAGUGGUUGAGUUCUGAUGACCUCCGUAGUCGAUCAGAGAUUGUGCCAGUUCCUUAGCACUUUCAAAGGUGUCAGGUUUAGAAGCUAACACGCUUGAUCGCAUUUGGGGCGUCAGUCCCCAGAUGUACCUUUCUAUCUUCUUGCUCUCGGGAGCAAUCAUAUCUGGACAAAGGAUUGCCAGUUCGCAGAAUCUGUUGGUAUAAGUAGCGAUGUCGGUACCCACCAUUCCGAGAGUCCAUAGCUCGUGUUCAAGCUUUUGAAUUUCUCCCCGUGGGCAGUAUUCUCUCAUCAUCAUGGCCUUCAAGCUCUCCCAGCUUAUGGAGUUUGCCACGAUUAGGGUAAGUACUUUAACGUGGCCAUUCCACCAAGUUAAAGCUUUAUCGAGAAGGGUGAAAGUUGCAAAUUUGACCUUGCUGUGCUCGGGGCAGGAGCAGAUUUCAAAGACUGCCUCCGUCCUUUCAAUCCACUGCCUCAGGGCCAUCACACCACCAGUACCAUAAAACAUCCGGGGCUUGGCAUUAGUGAAGUCCUUAUAGGUGCAUUCUCGAGGUGGUCCAUGACUCUCGCCAUGGUUGGAUAGGUGUGUGCCAGAUCCCGAGCCAUUAGUACUCGAGUUAUUGAUCUGUGACAUGGCAGCUGCCACCGCUGCGGUGACUGCUGCUUGAAACAUUACAGCAUCAAAUUGGGGUGGUGGAGGUGGUGGUGGUAUAGGUGCUUCCUCACCGUUGUUUCGCCUUGGAUUCCUACGCGGAGGCAUCCUUCAACUAUAGAUUGAAAAGACAAGGAUAAGAAUUUCAUAGAAUGGAAAAUGUAUGUGUCUCAUGAACUAAAUCGCUAUAGUUCAACAACAGAUGAUAGUAUGAGUCUUAAAAUAGAAGAAUGAAAGUUAUUUGUAAGACUGAAGGUAUGAAACAAGUAUUUGGGUUCACAAAGACCAUUCAAGGUUCGAACGAAAUACUCAACAUAGUAGUAAUAGUGCCACUUAUAUUAAUAUAAAAGUUGUUACAACGAUCAUGAAAAUUUGACCCCUAUAAGGGUCUCCGAUUACAAAGUUCGAGAAAUUUAAAGACUUUUAGCCGAGGUCCUAAGCUAUAACAAAAUUUGAGUCCUUGACAAGCACUACUUGCGUCGAAGGUUGCGCUUGGAGCUUGACUCCGUAUCUGAUUGCUUUGACUCCAUUAGACGCCUAUCGAAAGCGGCUUGUUGUUCCCUUAGUUCGGCGAGGGCUGCAAUCAUUUGCGCUUGAAACGCUUCGGUUUGGAAUUGAGCGUUGUCUUGCAUCUUGUCCAGCCUACGGAUGUCAGAAGUGUGAACCUGCACUUCCACGUUGAUAUCCCGGAGUCGACUAGCUUGUACUCCAGACUGAUAGGACUGAUUGGCUAACUUACCCACCAUUACCGGGAGUGCUCGAUCAGCCGAACCUCCGCCGCGGACAUCAUAGAAGUCCCGGCACAUGCCGUAGGGAGGGCGUAGGUUUUGCUGUUGGCUCCAAUGGUGGAGGUGACUUCCCCAGACGGGAGUCGGUCCUUGAAAGUUCCUUACGAAGACGGGAGGUUGAAUGGGUGGUGGAUCGAUAACUUCCGGCUCUGAGUCGGUACCGGAGUCAUCACCCACUUCUAUGGGUUCCUCGUCCUCUUCGGGAUCAUCUUCGAUCCAUCCUCCGUUGCCUUGGUUGGGAAAGUAGGGGUCGCCAGGGUGGUGAAAUCCAGCCAUUUGACUGUACGAGAAAUAGGGUUAUAAGAAUUGAAUAAAGUCGGAACAUGUAAAACAUGUAAGUUAAACUAGUUUAGAUAGCAAAUACUCCUAUAGUAUUUAAAUUCUUGUGUUUGAUUCUUGUAAUGGUUUGGUAAGUUUUGACUUGUUGCUUACUACGAUCAUUCCUCGAUAUACGUUGGUCCAAUCUUGGGCAAAUAUAGUUGAUCACGCUAUAUUUGUCCAAAAUCUGAUUACAUAUAUCGAGUCUCAAUCGUAGUGUCAACUUGUCUAAAUACUUGUAUAGUUGUAUAACAUGAAAAUAGUUUGUGGUAUGCAUGUAAUUGUACUUAAAUGAACUAUCAAUUUAAGUUGAACGAAAUGCUGCUUAAGUGUAAAAAGAAAAUUUGUUUUGUCAGAGAGUAUUAGUCCCUUAAGCAUUUAUAGUUUGUAUAUCUUAUGUGGUUCGAUAUACUUAGUUCACUAUAAACAUUGCUCUGAUACCAAUCUGUCACACCCCCAAACCUGAACGGCGGAAACGUUCGGGGGCGGAUGACUUCAUGUGGUAACGUAACAAAUGAAUACAUAGUAAAGAAAGCAAUACAACCAUCAUAUAUAUAAUUGAAAGUUUACAUUUGUCAAAAGUUACAUGUUCAAAACUCAAUUACAAUAUGAUGUCAAAAUACGAGAUUAAACUGGCGCCGCAGCAUCCCUUCAUCAAAAGCGAAAUGAAUACCUGAAAUUACUGAUUUCCUGGGACAUACAAGUAAUUUUGAAAGAGUAGAUCAGCAUUUAAGCUGGUGAAUUUCAUAAGUAUUUAAGUGACAAUGUUUGAAUGAAAUGAAAUGUUUUAUCUUUGUUUGUUUGUGUUUAGAAAAUCCUAUAUUUUCUACUAGUAUAAAAGUAGCCUUCACUCAAGACCAAUGUUUGUUUCCAAAAUGUAUGUAAAUGUAAAAUAACCAAUGAGUUUGAAAACCUUGUAAAUCAAUGCAUUUUUAAUACCCCUUGUGAGUUUUAUAACCAUACUAUUGACUCUGAAUGCCUAUACACAACGUUCUUCAGGCGUUGGAAUGUUAUGACGUUUGUCACCCCAAACGGUGGACUGCAGCUAACAGUCAGGGCGCGGGUUGUCAAGCCCGUAUAGAUCUAUACACAAACACCAUGCUCCCCCUCCAAGGGAUUCUGGUAUAUAAUACAGGACUUGAAAUGUGUACUCGAACGUACAUGAAGUUAGUGUCUCACAAAUCCGUGGUAUAAAAACAGAUCUACUUGUUAAAAUGUUACGUUUGUUCUUGUAUACGAAAGUAAACUUCUUGAAAUAUGUGUUUCUAGUACAUAAGAGUUAGAAAUCUGUUCGUAAAACUAUACCUAUUAUAGUUUCCAAAAAGCGUGUCUUGUUUGUUUAGAAAUAUUGAGAAAAGGAAUCACUUGUUUAUGAAAGUAUAGAUUUUUGGUGUAGAGUCUAGGAUAGACAAGAAAAAUCUAAGAACAGUUUAGUUUAUACAUGCAUUACAACAACAUUAUAUUUUAAAAGGUAAAAUGCUAUUGUGACAUAUGUUAUAUAUAUAUAAAAGUUCCUUUAAAUGUUUAUAAAUCGCAUGUGAUUUGAAUAUAUAACAGUAUAUAAAAGAGUUUCUUUAUGUAACACACGAUAAUACUCGUGUGUUUUACUUGUAAUCCCCCCCUUGAAAGCAUAUAAAAGUAUUUAGAAUAAUUAAAAAGGUUGAUUAAGGGGUAUGAAACUCACUUGAAAGUUUUGGAGAUAGCGAGAUGGAAAACCGGGCAGAGUUUCGUCUCGGGAAACGGAUUUUCCUCGGGAUUCUCGGGAAUCUCGGGAGUAAAAUCGACCUUCGGGACUUGAGCCAAAAAGACCAGAGCUUCGGGUUUGAACGGACACGGAAAACGAGGCAAAGUUGAGAGAGAGAGAAGAGAAAUGAGCCCUUUCUUUGGAAACCCUCGCAUCCUAUUUAUAGUAAGGCUGGUCUGCCUCGGUACGCGGGGCGUACGCUCGUACGCAGCGCGUACGCGUACGUCAUGCAUGACCGAAGCCUCGACUGCCUCGGUUCGGAUGGGACGGGUUGCUGGGUAGGCGGGUCGGAUGGGACGUCGGGUCGGACGGGUCGGGGCUUCGGACGGGUCGGACGGGUCGUUUUCCUUCGGAUAGCGCGACGUGGACGAUCAGAGGCCAAUCCUCUCGGUUACGCGGGGCGUACAGGGGUACGCAGCGCGUACCUCGGAUGAGGACGCUGACUCCCCUUCGGAUAAUAUCCGAAUUUUGAAUAAAAUAAAUAAUUAAUUUAUUUAAUAAACUUCAAAAAUUCAUAUCUUCUUCAUACGAACUCCGUUUUCGAUGAUCUUUAUAUCCUCGCGUAGGUGAGACUACGCUCUACAACUUUCGUUUAGACUCCGUCGGCAAAUUCCAAUUUUUUUAUUUAUUAUUUAUUAAAAACCCAUCGUGUUUAAGGAAUUUCUUUGAAAAUUCAUAACUUCUUUAUCUGAUGUCGGUUUUUGCCAGACUUUUUACUGCUGGAAUACCAUUGUCGAGACCUUCGAUUCUCGUUUAGGUCAUUCCGGCCAAAAGUCGCUCGAUUUCCGAUUCGAGUUUUUAGCUAUCUGUUGCUAAGCCGAACUUGGAAAAAUCAUAACUUCGCUAUAUGAAGUCGGAUUUGGGCGUUCUUUUCACGUACGAUCAUGGUUCAAAGACAUUUAAACAUAGAAAGAAAUUAAAUAGAACUAUUUGUACAUUUUAUUAUGAAAGUAAAUUUUAUUACUCAGAAGUGGUUACAAUACUUGACCCAUUUUGGUCGUUACAAAGAGUUGAAAUAUCGGGUUGUCACAAUGUUUUACUAUAAUAUACUAUUGAAUGUUUGAAAAAUGAUAAUUGGUGUUUCUGGUUAAACUAAAAAUGAAAUUUUUACCUUAUAAUUUUUGGGGCGUUACACGAAUUAUUAGCAAAGUCCUUUUAGGUUGUCCUUAAACUUAGUAAUUGAAUAAGAUGACUUUUAGAGAGAGAGAGAGAGAGAGAGUGUGUGUGUGUGU